UACGGGGGGGGCAAGCGUUGUUCGGAAUUACUGGGCGUAAAGGGCGCGUAGGCGGCCUGUUAAGUCGAACGUGAAAUCCCUGGGCUCAACCCAGGAACUGCGUCCGAUACUGGCAGGCUUGAAUUCGGGAGAGGGAUGCGGAAUUCCGAGUGUAGAGGUGAAAUUCGUAGAUAUUCGGAGGAACACCAGUGGCGAAGGCGGCUCACUGGCUCGAUACUGACGCUGAGGUGCGAAAGCGUGGGGAGCAAACAGG
rnacentral:rRNA from 1 species